rnacentral:rRNA from 1 species
GACGAACGCUGGCGGCGUGCUUAACACAUGCAAGUCGAACGGAAAGGCCCUGCUUGUGUGGGGUGCUCGAGUGGCGAACGGGUGAGUAACACGUGAGUAACCUGCCCUUGACUGUGGGAUAACUUCAGGAAACUGGUGCUAAUACCGGAUAGGAGCUCCUGCUGCAUGGUGGGGGUUGGAAAGUUUCGGCGGUUGGGGAUGGACUCGCGGCUUAUCAGCUUGUUGGUGGGGUAGUGGCUUACCAAGGCUUUGACGGGUAGCCGGCCUGAGAGGGUGACCGGCCACAUUGGGACUGAGAUACGGCCCAGACUCCUACGGGAGGCAGCAGUGGGGAAUAUUGCACAAUGGGCGGAAGCCUGAUGCAGAAACGCCGCGUGCGGGAUGACGGCCUUCGGGUUGUAAACCGCUUUCGCCUGUGACGAAGCGUGAGUGACGGUAAUGGGUAAAGAAGCACCGGCUAACUACAUG